rnacentral:rRNA from 1 species
UCGCGGCCUAUCAGCUUGUUGGUGAGGUAAUGGCUCACCAAGGCGUCGACGGGUAGCCGGCCUGAGAGGGUGACCGGCCACACUGGGACUGAGACACGGCCCAGACUCCUACGGGAGGCAGCAGUGGGGAAUAUUGCACAAUGGGCGCAAGCCUGAUGCAGCAACGCCGCGUGAGGGAUGACGGCCUUCGGGUUGUAAACCUCUUUUAGUAGGGAAGAAGCGAAAGUGACGGUACCUGCAGAAAAAGCGCCGGCUAACUACGUGCCAGCAGCCGCGGUAAUACGUAGGGCGCAAGCGUUAUCCGGAAUUAUUGGGCGUAAAGAGCUCGUAGGCGGUUUGUCGCGUCUGCUGUGAAAUCUGGGGGCUCAACCCCCAGCCUGCAGUGGGUACGGGCAGACUAGAGUGCGGUAGGGGAGAUUGGAAUUCCUGGUGUAGCGGUGGAAUGCGCAGAUAUCAGGAGGAACACCGAUGGCGAAGGCAGAUCUCUGGGCCGUAACUGACGCUGAGGAGCGAAAGGGUGGGGAGCAAACAGGCUUAGAUACCCUGGUAGUCCACCCCGUAAACGUUGGGAACUAGUUGUGGGGUCCAUUCCACGGAUUCCGUGACGCAGCUAACGCAUUAAGUUCCCCGCCUGGGGAGUACGGCCGCAAGGCUAAAACUCAAAGGAAUUGACGGGGACCCGCACAAGCGGCGGAGCAUGCGGAUUAAUUCGAUGCAACGCGAAGAACCUUACCAAGGCUUGACAUAUACGAGAACGGGCCAGAAAUGGUCAACUCUUUGGACACUCGUAAACAGGUGGUGCAUGGUUGUCGUCAGCUCGUGUCGUGAGAUGUUGGGUUAAGUCCCGCAACGAGCGCAACCCUCGUUCUAUGUUGCCAGCACGUAAUGGUGGGAACUCAUGGGAUACUGCCGGGGUCAACUCGGAGGAAGGUGGGGAUGACGUCAAAUCAUCAUGCCCCUUAUGUCUUGGGCUUCACGCAUGCUACAAUGGCCGGUACAAAGGGCUGCAAUACCGCGAGGUGGAGCGAAUCCCAUAAAGCCGGUCCCAGUUCGGAUUGAGGUCUGCAACUCGACCUCAUGAAGUCGGAGUCGCUAGUAAUCGCAGAUCAGCAACGCUGCGGUGAAUACGUUCCCGGGUCUUGUACACACCGCCCGUCAAGUCAUGAAAGUCGGUAACACCUGAAGCCGGUGGCCUAACCCUUGUGGAGGGAGCCGUCGAAGGUGGGGCUGGA